rnacentral:rRNA from 1 species
CCUACGGGAGGCUGCAGUGGGGAAUAUUGGACAAUGGGCGAAAGCCUGAUCCAGCCAUGCCGCGUGUGUGAAGAAGGCCUUCGGGUUGUAAAGCACUUUCAGUGGGGAAGAAAGCCUUGGGGCUAAUACCCUCGAGGAAGGACAUCACCCACAGAAGAAGCACCGGCUAACUCCGUGCCAGCAGCCGCGGUAAUACGGAGGGUGCGAGCGUUAAUCGGAAUUACUGGGCGUAAAGCGCGCGUAGGCGGUCUGAUAAGCCGGUUGUGAAAGCCCCGGGCUCAACCUGGGAACGGCAUCCGGAACUGUCAGGCUAGAGUGCAGGAGAGGAAGGUAGAAGUCCCGGUGUAGCGGUGAAAUGCGUAGAGAUCGGGAGGAAUACCAGUGGCGAAGGCGGCCUUCUGGACUGACACUGACGCUGAGGUGCGAAAGCGUGGGUAGCAAACAGGAUUAAUCCCCUAGUAGUC